AUGGCACCGAAACAUAAGUCCGGUUGUGCGAAAAGGAAUAAAAGAAAAAGGGAUCUUGCACUUGCUGAAUCACAAAAAGGGGCUCUAAAAAUGUAUUUUCCGGCAACAAGUAGUGUUGAUGUCAAUAAUGAUAAUCAAAUUGAAGAAUCUGAACAUGAUCAAGAUGAUGAUCAUAAUUCAAAUGUUGAUCAUGAGGUCAAUGAACAGUCCUCGGGCCAGGGUAAUUUAAAUGUAGGUCUUGAUGUUAAUAAGGACAAUACGGAGGAGGAAAAUUUGCAGCCUUCACCCGAAGCUCCGAAUAUUGAUGAGCAGGUUGAUUCUCUGUUAUCUCUAUACGAUCCUAGAACAUGGGAUAAUCUUGACAACAGCAAACGGGAUAUUCUAAUUGAAAAGGGGCCUGUGAGAGAAAUGGAUCUGGUGUUCCCAAAGGAUGACGAGGGUAGACAUUUCUCAUAUUUUCACUACACCAGAAAGUUAGCUAAUGAAGAGGUUAUUCACAGAAAGUGGUUGGUUUACUCUAAAGAGGUUGACAAAGUUUAUUGUUUUUGUUGCAAGUUAUUCAAAUCAAAUCAGAAUAGGUCAUUGCUAGCAUCUGAUGGAUUGAGGGACUGGAGGCGUAUUAGUGCAAGACUCAAAGAACAUGAGGUUAGUGUUGAACACUUUACCAACAUGAAUACAUGGAAUGAACUAAGGUUGAGGUUAAGCAAAAAAACAAUUGAUGAUGAGAUGCAGCAGAAGGUUGCAAAGGAAAAAGAGCGUUGGAGACAGGUAUUGCUCAGGAUAGUUUCUUUAGUGAAGUUUCUUGCAAAACCUAAUUUGGGAUUUCGAGGAACAAAUGAGAAGCUGUUUGAACAUAAUAAUGGCAAUUUUUUGGGCUCAGUUGAAAUGAUUGCUGAAUUUGAUCCUGUGAUGCAAGAACAUAUUAGGCGCAUUCAAAACAAGGAAAUACAUCAUCAUUAUCUUGGCCAUGGUAUUCAGGAUGAGUUGAUCUUACUUCUUGCUGAUUCCGUCAAAAUUUUUAUCUUAAAGACCAUCAAGGAUGCCAAGUAUUUCUCUGUUAUAUUGGACUAUACUCCAGAUGUGAGCCAUGAAGAACAAAUGACGCUAAUUGUGCGUUGUGUGAAUAUGUCAAGUAACAUUCCAAGAGUCGAGGAGUUUUUCCUAGAGUUUUUAAAGGUUCAUGAUACAUCAGGAUUAGAGCUUAAUGUGUUGAUGGAUACAUUGGACUCUCUUGAUCUGGACGUUGCUGAUGUAAGAGGGCAAGGUUAUGACAAUGGUUCUAACAUGAAGGGAAAAAAUCAAGGUGUUCAGAAUCGCUUGCUUGAAGUUAAUCCCAAAGCAUUAUAUAUGCCAUGUGCAUGUCAUAGUUUGAAUCUCACACUUUGUGAUAUGGCAAAAUCUUGCGAACAUGCGAUUUCAUUCUUCGGUAUUAUCCAGCGUAUAUAUGUACUGUUUGCACGUUCUACUAAAAGGUGGAAGAUUUUGCUUGAUAAUGUUCCAGGUCUGACUCUCAAACCUUUGUCUGAUACUCAUUGGGAGAGCCGAAUAAAGAGUGUGCAACCUAUAAGGUACCAAACUUCCCAAGUAAGAUCAGCUUUGAAGGAGUUGGAGAAGACUGCUAGGGAGGAUAAUGAUCUAGCUACAGUAAGUGAUGCUCAAUCUUUGGUGAGCAAAAUGUUACAAGAAAAAAUGGUGUGCAUCGAUGCUACUCUAAAACACAUUGAUGGGGUCAAGUCAUAUUUUCAGAAGUAUAGAGAUGAAGGCUUCAAUUCUAGUAUUGAAAGUGCCAAAGCCAUUGCGUUGGAUAUGGGCAUAGAGCCCCAAUUUCGUACAAAACGUAAAAGUAAAAGGAAGAAGCAUUUUGAUGAAAUCAAUGAUGAAGAUGAAGAUCUACAACUGUCAGCUAUUGAAUCCUUCAGAGUUACAUACUUUCUUGUCAUUGUUGACACCGCAAUUGCUUCAUUGUCUAGUCGAUUUGAUCAGCUGAAGGCAUUUGAAGAUUUUUUUGGUUUCUUAUUCAACUCAAAUAAUCUGAAGUCUUUGGAUGAAAGUAGUCUACGCAAAUCAUGCACCACUUUUGCAAAAGCUUUUACUCAUAAGAAGUCGCGAGAUGUUGAUCUUGAUGAUUUUUUCUCUGAGUUAAAAGUAUUGCAACUAACCUUGCCAGAUGCUUUGAUGUCAGCACUUGAGAUUCUUCAGUUUGUUACCGCUGCAAAUUGCUAUCCAAAUGUAUCAGUUGCCUAUCGGAUCCUCUUGACUAUACCUGUGACUGUAGCCUCAGCUGAAAGAAGUUUCUCUAAACUGAAACUAUUGAAGAAUUGUUUGAGGUCAACUAUGUUACAAGACAGAUUGAAUGGCUUGGCUACAUGUUGCAUUGAGAAGGAUAUCUUGGAUAAAAUUGAUCUUGAGAUUAUAAUCAAUGAUUUUGCAUCUAGAAAUGCCCGGAGAAGCUUUUUUAUGAAGCAUUGA
rnacentral:rRNA from 1 species